rnacentral:RNase_P_RNA from 1 species
GAUUCCAGAGGAAAGUCCGGGCAGCACAGGAUACGGUAGUUUCUAACGGAAACCGUUCGCGAGAAUAGGGAAAGUACCACAGAGACAAUACCGCUAGGGCGUUUAUGGCGUUCGAGUAAGGGUGAAAAGAGUAAGGUAAGAGCUUACAGUGUGUCAUGGUGACAUGAGACAGGGGCAAACCCUACCGGCUGCAAGGAGUGCUAGAUACCUUGAUCCGAGGAUGCACGUUUACCGCUAGAGCGUUGGAGCAAUUCAAGGCCUAGAUAGAUGGUUGUCGGCUUGCAAGAGCUACAGAACCCGGCUUAUUU